ACGCUCGACACCUACGGGAGGCAGCAGUGGGGAAUAUUGCGCAAUGGGGGCAACCCUGACGCAGCAACGCCGCGUGAUUGAAGAAGGCCUGGUGUAAGAUNUUAUNAGGAGAACAUGACGGUACCUGAAGAAUAAGACUCCGGCUAACUACGUGCCAACAGCCGGUAAUCUGAGCGGGCUGGCAAGGC
rnacentral:rRNA from 1 species